GUAGGAUCGUACCAACAGCGGCAGAAAAUGGUAUCACAGGAGUAGGACGCGUUAUGAAUGGGAAGUUACGGCAGAGGGGACGCAGCAACCGCAGCAAGAGCCGCAACAAGCUCCAACAACAACAAAGAUAAUAGCAGCAACUGAGCGACGCCAGGGAAAGGAGUUUACUAUAAAAGGUCACGG